rnacentral:rRNA from 1 species
UACGUAGGGACCAAGCGUUGUUCGGAUUUACUGGGCGUAAAGGGCGCGUAGGCGGCGCUGUAAGUCACUUGUGAAAUCUCCGGGCUUAACUCGGAACGGUCAAGUGAUACUGCAGUGCUAGAGUGCAGAAAGGGCAAUCGGAAUUCUUGGUGUAGCGGUGAAAUGCGUAGAUAUCAAGAGGAACACCUGAGGCGAGGGCGGGUUGCUAGGCUGACACUGACGCUGACAGCGCGAAAGCCAGGGGAGCAAACGGG